rnacentral:lncRNA from 1 species
AUAUAUAUGGAAUUGAGCUAGAAUACUUUUAGAAGCACCAACCCCUUGGUGCUUCUAAGUUUUUAGCCCUUGAAUCUACUCCUUGAUUACUAAUAGUCUUUGGAUCAAACACUAUUCCAUCUACCACCACCUACCAUCACUUAUACCAACAUCAUCUCAACCUCACAUCUCUCAAUCCAAUGGCUAAAAACUCAAAAGCACCACCUUCGUGGUGCUUUUGAGAGUAUUCUAGCUCAACUCUCCCUCUCUUUCUCCAUAUAUAUAUAUAU